GACAGAGGGUGCAAACGUUGUUCGGAAUUACUGGGCGUAAAGCGCGUGUAGGCUGUCUCGAAAGUCGGAUGUGAAAGCCCUGGGCUCAACCUAGGAAGUGCAUUCGAAACUUCGAGACUUGAGUCCUGGAGAGGAUCGCGGAAUUCUCGGUGUAGAGGUGAAAUUCGUAGAUAUCGAGAGGAACACCGGUGGCGAAGGCGGCGAUCUGGACAGUGACUGACGCUGAGACGCGAAAGCGUGGGGAGCAAACAGG
rnacentral:rRNA from 1 species